ensembl:lincRNA linc-128 ncRNA
UGUCGCGUCGCGGCUCGAUUUUAGUUUGUGUAGAACACGACUUUCCCACGCGUUGUCCGACAGGCGAUUGUCAAUGGAGCGCGAAAAAUUCAAUGAGGAAGGUAAUGAACCCCGUGUUGCGGCCAAAAAUUGUUGGGCCGAAAAAAAAAUCAUAAAAAGUAGUUUUUCUUACGAGCAUUAUCAAUAAAGUUCAUAACUUUUUACGUUCACUUGGACGAGUUCUUGAUUUUUUUCAAAAAAAAUUUCCCGCAUUUUUUGUAGAUCAAACCGCAAUGAGACAGCCUGACACCACGUGAGAGGACGGAAUUUACGUGGCCGAAAAUUGGAAAACUAGGCCAAUUCUAAUUCUGUCAGUUUCCAGAGAAAGGGCAGAUUUAUCAGUUAAUUUUCUUGACUACAGGAAGGGUUUCUCAUAAGCAUUUAGUUUCUAUCGCUUCCAUCAUUUCUCUGUCGCUCUAUCUCUCUUCUUCUUCACCUUCCCCCCCAACCCAGACUUCGGCGCAGACAGCAGGACACAGCAAUGCGGCCUAGGCGCAUUUUGCAUCACCGAAAGAGCCCGGCGCAGUGAAGAGACGUAUAGAAGAGAGUGUGCGGAGCGUGCGCAUUGCGCAAUGCGCCCAAUGCGCCGCCCAUUCGUAUUUCGUGUUGAAUGCGGCCGCCCGUUGCGGUGUUCUCUCGAGGGAGGGCCGCGGAAAUCGUCUGCGUCUCUGCAUCGAUUUUCGCGUCUCGUUUCUCUGAUUCUCUGUGGAUAUUGUGAAUCGGGGGAUUAUGGCGGUGGUGGUGGUUGCGGAAGAUUUCAAUCGCACUAGGCAAGUCUCAAUUUCGAUUUUGAAAUUCGAAUUUCGAGAUUUCUUUGUUUCCUGAUUCAAUUUUUAACCUUUUCCAUUUGAAUUCCAACAUCCUAUUCUUCAAAUUUUUAUCAGCACCCAGCACCCGACACCCGUGUGCCACUCCCUUGCGAAAAAAGGAAAAGACAAAUGUGUUUUACGAGAUGUUUAUUUCCUUCUUCCGUUUUUUUUUUCCCCAACACAGUUCCCAUGGGGCGCACGCGCAAGUAAGAAAAGCCAACCAUCAGAUCAGAUACGGCCUUACGUGUGAGAGUUCGGAGAACCAAGAGAGAGAGAGAGAGAGAGAGAGAGAGAAGUGCACAGAACAGGCUCUCAUUGCGCCAAGAGCCGUCAGCUGCCUGUUUCUCGGGUUCAUGAGACCCAAGACAACACGUAAACACAGACGAUAGCCCCCCCCCCCCCCCCACAACAGGAACCACAAAAAGCUGGUUCCUUUUACUUUUACGAAAUUUUUUUUUUUGCUUUCUUUUUUUUAAUGAAGAAUACAUUUUGAAGGUGGUGUAGUCGAAUUUUUUUUUCAUAUUUUUUUAUUAGAUUAAAAAUUGUCUGAAAACACCGAAAUUCAUAAGGAAACUUCUUGAAAACUUUUCAAAAAAAAAAAGUUAUCGCGUCUCGAAAAAUGGCCUAAAAUUAGUGAAAAUUUGAAAUUUGACCUACUUGUCAUUGUCGCAGCGGCUGGAAACUAUUGUUUUUGAAAUUAUCGUCUAAUUUUGAGUUUAUAAGUCGAUUAUCUUGCGUUUUAAACUUGAUUAAGAUAUUUUAAAGUCGAUGGAAGAAGAGAUUUUUCAAAUUUUAUUGCCAAAUCUCUUCGUCCAUCGAAUUUAAAAUGCCUUAAUCAAGUUUAAAACGCAAGAUCUGACGGUAAUUUCAAAAAAAAAAGUGUUUCCAGUCGCUGCGACAUUGACAAGUUGGUCAAACUUCAAAUUUUAACUAAUUUUAGACCAUUUUUCGAGCAUCCAUAACUUUUUUUCGAGAAGUUUUCAAGAAGUUUCAGUAUGAAAUUCGGUGUUUUCAGACAAUUUUUAAUCUAAUAAAGAAAUUAAAAAAAUUCGACUAAAUACACCACCUUUAAAAUUAAGAAAUUUUAACAUUAAAAAUUAAUUACAAAAGGCGUGUCGUGUCGAGACCCAACGAAACUUUUCCUCUAUGCGCCUUUGACUGUAUGUGGCGCGUGGCCAUUUUUUCUAAUUUAAAAUUUUGCGGCGGGAGUUUUUGAUUUUACUCGCUAUUUUCAAUUUUUCCUGCGUGAACUUUUUAUAAAUUUGUUUUUAAAAAUUUUUUUAUAAAAUUUAAACGUGGCGAAGCCGUCCAUUUGUUGGAAAUUGCCAACAAUCUCGUCAUUUUGUGUUUUUCCAACUUCCUGCGAGUGUGAGUUUUUUCCGGAUAUCCCACGAAAUUUCACAAUCUUGUGUUCGCCGAUUUCGUUUCCUCUCUCCUUCUCAAAGUGAUUUUUC